AUCAUUUUCCCCCUUGUCUCCUCUCUCUCUCUCUCAUCUCGUUCCUCUCCCGCCAUUGAUCCCCAAGCAUUGACCUCCCGCCAUUUAUAUCUCUAAUUCACUGCUAAUUUUUCCCGCGGAAUCGGGAGGCCUCCUCCUCCUUCCUCGAUGGGUUGCUCCUCCUCUCUCCCAGACAGGAAAGCUGGACGUUUGGACAGUCUGAACAGAGAGAAUUCUGCAGCUACUGACUCCAAAAAUUUGCGUGUCAAGCUGGUAUUGCUGGGAGAUUCAGGUGUUGGUAAGAGCUGCAUUGUUCUUCGCUUUGUUCGGGGUCAGUUUGAUCCUACUUCCAAGGUAACAGUCGGUGCUUCAUUCCUAUCACAGACAUUAGCCUUGCAAGACUCUACGACCGUUAAGUUUGAAAUAUGGGAUACUGCUGGCCAAGAGAGAUAUGCUGCAUUGGCACCUCUUUACUAUCGUGGGGCAGCUGUCGCAGUGGUUGUGUAUGACAUAACGAGUCCAGAAUCAUUUAGCAAAGCACAGUACUGGGUUAAGGAACUUCAAAAGCAUGGAAGCCCUGAUAUUGUCAUGGCAUUGGUUGGAAACAAGGCUGAUUUGCAUGAAAAUCGCAGUGUAUCUUCUGAGGAUGCACUAGAAUAUGCAGAGAAGAAUGGGAUGUUCUUUAUUGAGACAUCAGCAAAAACAGCAGAUAACAUCAACCAGCUAUUUGAGGAAUAAACAGGACACAUAAUUAUUGAACAUCUUUGAUGAUGGUGAAUCCACGAAGGAAAAGAGGAGAUUGCAAAGAGGUUACCUGAAAAGCUUUCAACGUCCACAUCCUGAGGAUCAGUUUUGAGUAAGUUAUCUGCAUCAUCUUAUACAUAGUGAUGAGUCGUUUCAUGUAUUGAAAUAGUGAGUUUCCUGGUGAGCUUGUAAUAUGUACUAUUUUAGAAGUGAAAUUUCAUUGGUAUAUUGUUUGUUCAUA